rnacentral:tRNA from 1 species
UCUAGUUUAACAUAUAUCAUAAUGUGAGAGGUUGUAAACUUCUUUAAGGCUACAGUCAACUAGGA